rnacentral:rRNA from 1 species
UACGGAGGAUGCAAGCGUUAUCCGGAAUGAUUGGGCGUAAAGCGUCCGCAGGUGGCAGUGCAAGUCUGCUGUCAAAGACCGAGGCUUAACUUCGGAAAGGCAGUGGAAACUGAACAGCUAGAGUAUGGUAGGGGCAGAGGGAAUUCCUGGUGUAGCGGUGAAAUGCGUAGAGAUCAGGAAGAACAUCGGUGGCGAAGGCGCUCUGCUGGGCCGUAACUGACACUGAGGGACGAAAGCUAGGGGAGCGAAUGGG